GGGGAACAUUGGACAAUGGGGGCAACCCUGAUCCAGCCAUGCCGCGUGAGUGAUGAAGGCCUUAGGGUUGUAAAGCUCUUUCGCCCGCGAAGAUAAUGACUGUAGCGGGAGAAGAAGCCCCGGCUAACUUCGUGCCAGCAGCCGCGGUAAUACGAAGGGGGCUAGCGUUGUUCGGAAUCACUGGGCGUAAAGCGUACGUAGGCGGGCAAUUAAGUCAGGGGUGAAAGCCUUGAGCUCAACUCAAGAACUGCCUUUGAUACUGGUUGCCUGGAGUCCGGGAGAGGUGAGUGGAACUGCUAGUGUAGAGGUGAAAUUCGUAGAUAUUAGCAAGAACACCAGUGGCGAAGGCGGCUCACUGGCCCGGUACUGACGCUGAGGUACGAAAGCGUGGGGAGCAAAC
rnacentral:rRNA from 1 species